rnacentral:rRNA from 1 species
CACGUAGGGGGCUAGCGUUGUCCGGAAUCAUUGGGCGUAAAGAGCGUGUAGGCGGUCCGGUAAGUCCGCUGUGAAAGUCGGGGGCUCAACCCUCGAAUGCCGGUGGAUACUGUCGGGCUAGAGUGCGGAAGAGGCGAGUGGAAUUCCUGGUGGAGCGGUGAAAUGCGUAGAUAUCGUCUGGAACGCCAAAGGUGAAAACAGACUGCUGGGAGUGUGCUGACGCUGAGACACGAAAGCCAGGGGAGCAAACGGG